CGGGGCCCGGCAGGGCUGGCCCACCCACCGGGAAGGCUCAGCCCCAUCCCGGCUGUGCGACGAGUUUAACACUGCCAACAUCGAGUUCAGAGAGAGGUCACUUAGCAACUUUUCUUUGGAAACAUAUCCUUCGCUUACAGACUGCGGAGCCCCCGCUGGUUUCCAUGACUCGGUUUUCGUUCACUUUGUGGAAUGUAUAGACGUUUUUAUGGUGUGUGGCUAAAAUUAUUGAAGCAAACUGAUACAUUCUGGAUGUCAAAUAAGCAAAGAUACAAAUAUGAGGAAAGGUGUUGAAACACUUGUCCAGGAAGCAAAUAGAGGGAAUGCUCCACACUCUUCCCC